rnacentral:ncRNA from 1 species
AUCUUCAGGGCAGGGUGAGAUUCCCUACCGGUGGUACAGCCCACGAGCCGUAAGGCAUGAUUCGGUGAAGCUCUGAAGCCGACAGUACAGUCUGGAUGAAAGAAGAUU